UGAGCAAUCUGCCCUUCUCUUCGGAAUAAGCGUUGGAAACGACGUCUAAUGCCGAAUACGACCUCCUUUCGCAUGAUCGGAGGUGGAAAGCUCCGGCGGAGAAGGAUGAGCUCGCGGCCUAUCAGCUAGUUGGUGUGGGUAAUGGCUCACCAAGGCGACGACGGGUAGCCGGCCUGAGAGGGUGACCGGCCACACUGGGACUGAGACACGGCCCAGACUCCUACGGGAGCAG
rnacentral:rRNA from 1 species